ensembl:snRNA U4 U4 spliceosomal RNA
AGCUUUGCACAAUGGCAGUAUCAUAGCCAAUGAGGUUUAACCAAGGCGCGAUUAUUGCUAAUUGAAAACUUUUCCCAAUACACUGCCAUGACAACUUGAAAUAUAGUUGGCAUUGGCAAUUUUUGACAGUCUCUACGGAGA